AAGACAAAAAACAAUAACGGAAGAUGCAUGAUUGACCAUGUCUAAGAAAUUAGUAAUGAACUUCUGCAUUGACUGACAAAUCAAGGUCCUUGUUUUUACAAAGAUCCACAAUUUUUUUAUGGAAAAACACCUAUUGCAGGGGGAAAAAAUGUAGAACAGUAAAACUAGAAAAUGAUGGUGAUUGUAAUGGGACACAAUAUGUCAUGCACAGGAAACUACUAAUCAACCCACAUUGAGUCUCACAUACACAAUUACUUGCACACAAAAACAUAUUACUUCAAAAGAAAAUAAAAUGGAGAGCCAAAACCAAUCUGUAACUGUGGUUUCAUUUCACAGCUACGUUGCAUAUAGUUUUGAUUUGUCAUAGGAAAGCAGUAACCUUUCUAGUUGCUAUGUAACAUGCAAGGCAAAGAAUGACCAACACCAAUCUAAAAAUUGUAAUAUGUAGAAAUUUCACUAGAAAAAAAAUCCAUUCAACGAAGGAAAUCACAAGAUGAUCUUAUAUGAGACCAAACUGAUGAAAGUUUCCUAUCUGUUGAAAUAAAUCCUAGUUAUUCCAUUUUUUCUACAUUUGAAUCAUUGAACUAACAGAACAAAGAGUUGUAUUUGAUGUUAACUUAAUUCAAAUGGGAUUUCCAGUUCUUGUCAAAAUUAGGGGUUGCAGACAUGGCAGGAGAAAUAGGGGUACUUUUCAAUAUCCCACAACCUUUUACGAUGAGAACUAAGAGACUUUCUCAGGUCAUCUAGAUUAGUCAUCAUCAAUUCAAGCAAAUGGUGCAGCCACAUAAUCUAGAUGGAAAGAUAAUAAUCUCCAACUUUAUACAGUAUUUGAAGGGAUUAAAGAACGAGUUGCUCGAAGAGAUGCCAUUUGUAAAAGAUUUGUUGGAUGAGUUCAAUACAGAGAAGUUUGAGAAUAGUUGCUGACUUGGACACUCAUCAUAUUUUUGUUCGCGCUGAUCCAUCUGUAGAUCCCUGCGCUUAUAAUGCUCCAAAUGCUGUUAAGUUACUGUAAUACCAAGAGGAUGAUGAGGUUGUAGAGUAUAGAAAGCGUGAUAUUAUUGUGCAGAAACAUCAUGGUCAUUCUGAGAGACUUGGCAAACAUGCCCAAUCAACUAACUAUCAAGGAUGUUUUUCUAUAAAGAUGAUAGACAGUUAAUGUAAUGAUCCCAUAACUGAAAUGGGUGAACAAUUGGUCCAUCGAAUGAGGAUGAGAAGCAAGCAUUUUAUUGCCCUUCACCUAACAUUGGUUUUGAUGACGUUUGGAAGCAUACUUGCAAAUCAAGAUCAAGUGCUGAAUUUAUUUA